GAUGAACGCUGGCGGCGUGCCUAAUACAUGCAAGUCGAACGAACACACGAGGAGCUUGCUCUUCUGACGUUAGCGAGGGACGGGUGAGUAAUACGUGGAUCACCUACCACUAAUACUAGGAUGACUACGGGAAACAGGAGCCACUACCGGCUAAUAUAAUGAACCGCUUGGUUCAUUGGUGAAUGACAGUUUUGGCGUCUCUUUUAGAUGAAGCCGCGCCGCAUUAGCUAGUUGGUAAGGUAACGGCUUACCAAGGAAACGAUGCGUAGCUGACCUGAGAGGAUGAUCGGCCACACUGGAACUGAGACACGGUCCAGACUCCUACGGGAGGCAGCAGUAGGGAAUCUUCCGCAAUGGGCGAAAGCCUGACGGAGCAAUACCGCGUGGGUGAUGAAGGUCUUCGGAUUGUAAAACUCUGUUAUUAGGAAAGAACAAAUGUGUAUGUAACUAUGCACGUCCUGACGGUACCUAAUCAGAAAGCCACGGCUAACUACGUG
rnacentral:rRNA from 1 species